rnacentral:rRNA from 1 species
UUAAGCGACUAAGCGUACACGGUGGAUGCCCUGGCAGUCAGAGGCGAUGAAGGACGUGCUAAUCUGCGAUAAGCGUCGGUAAGGUGAUAUGAACCGUUAUAACCGGCGAUUUCCGAAUGGGGAAACCCAGUGUGAUUCGUCACACUAUCAUUAACUGAAUCCAUAGGUUAAUGAGGCGAACCGGGGGAACUGAAACAUCUAAGUACCCCGAGGAAAAGAAAUCAACCGAGAUUCCCCCAGUAGCGGCGAGCGAACGGGGAGCAGCCCAGAGCCUGAAUCAGUGUGUGUGUUAGUGGAAGCGUCUGGAAAGGCGCGCGAUACAGGGUGACAGCCCCGUACACAAAAAUGCACAUGCUGUGAGCUCGAUGAGUAGGGCGGGACACGUGGUAUCCUGUCUGAAUAUGGGGGGACCAUCCUCCAAGGCUAAAUACUCCUGACUGACCGAUAGUGAACCAGUACCGUGAGGGAAAGGCGAAAAGAACCCCGGCGAGGGGAGUGAAAAAGAACCUGAAACCGUGUACGUACAAGCAGUGGGAGCACGCUUAGGCGUGUGACUGCGUACCUUUUGUAUAAUGGGUCAGCGACUUAUAUUCUGUAGCAAGGUUAACCGAAUAGGGGAGCCGAAGGGAAACCGAGUCUUAACUGGGCGUUAAGUUGCAGGGUAUAGACCCGAAACCCGGUGAUCUAGCCAUGGGCAGGUUGAAGGUUGGGUAACACUAACUGGAGGACCGAACCGACUAAUGUUGAAAAAUUAGCGGAUGACUUGUGGCUGGGGGUGAAAGGCCAAUCAAACCGGGAGAUAGCUGGUUCUCCCCGAAAGCUAUUUAGGUAGCGCCUCGUGAAUUCAUCUCCGGGGGUAGAGCACUGUUUCGGCAAGGGGGUCAUCCCGACUUACCAACCCGAUGCAAACUGCGAAUACCGGAGAAUGUUAUCACGGGAGACACACGGCGGGUGCUAACGUCCGUCGUGAAGAGGGAAACAACCCAGACCGCCAGCUAAGGUCCCAAAGUCAUGGUUAAGUGGGAAACGAUGUGGGAAGGCCCAGACAGCCAGGAUGUUGGCUUAGAAGCAGCCAUCAUUUAAAGAAAGCGUAAUAGCUCACUGGUCGAGUCGGCCUGCGCGGAAGAUGUAACGGGGCUAAACCAUGCACCGAAGCUGCGGCAGCGACGCUGAUGCGUUGUUGGGUAGGGGAGCGUUCUGUAAGCCUGUGAAGGUGUGCUGUGAGGCAUGCUGGAGGUAUCAGAAGUGCGAAUGCUGACAUAAGUAACGAUAAAGCGGGUGAAAAGCCCGCUCGCCGGAAGACCAAGGGUUCCUGUCCAACGUUAAUCGGGGCAGGGUGAGUCGACCCCUAAGGCGAGGCCGAAAGGCGUAGUCGAUGGGAAACAGGUUAAUAUUCCUGUACUUGGUGUUACUGCGAAGGGGGGACGGAGAAGGCUAUGUUGGCCGGGCGACGGUUGUCCCGGUUUAAGCGUGUAGGCUGGUUUUCCAGGCAAAUCCGGAAAAUCAAGGCUGAGGCGUGAUGACGAGGCACUACGGUGCUGAAGCAACAAAUGCCCUGCUUCCAGGAAAAGCCUCUAAGCAUCAGGUAACAUCAAAUCGUACCCCAAACCGACACAGGUGGUCAGGUAGAGAAUACCAAGGCGCUUGAGAGAACUCGGGUGAAGGAACUAGGCAAAAUGGUGCCGUAACUUCGGGAGAAGGCACGCUGAUAUGUAGGUGAAGCGACUUGCUCGUGGAGCUGAAAUCAGUCGAAGAUACCAGCUGGCUGCAACUGUUUAUUAAAAACACAGCACUGUGCAAACACGAAAGUGGACGUAUACGGUGUGACGCCUGCCCGGUGCCGGAAGGUUAAUUGAUGGGGUCAGCGCAAGCGAAGCUCUUGAUCGAAGCCCCGGUAAACGGCGGCCGUAACUAUAACGGUCCUAAGGUAGCGAAAUUCCUUGUCGGGUAAGUUCCGACCUGCACGAAUGGCGUAAUGAUGGCCAGGCUGUCUCCACCCGAGACUCAGUGAAAUUGAACUCGCUGUGAAGAUGCAGUGUACCCGCGGCAAGACGGAAAGACCCCGUGAACCUUUACUAUAGCUUGACACUGAACAUUGAGCCUUGAUGUGUAGGAUAGGUGGGAGGCUUUGAAGUGUGGACGCCAGUCUGCAUGGAGCCG